UACAGAGGGGGCAAGCGUUGUUCGGAAUUACUGGGCGUAAAGGGCGCGUAGGCGGCCUUCUAAGUCGAACGUGAAAUCCCUGGGCUCAACCCAGGAACUGCGUCCGAUACUGGAAGGCUUGAAUCCGGGAGAGGGAUGCGGAAUUCCAGGUGUAGCGGUGAAAUGCGUAGAUAUCUGGAGGAACACCGGUGGCGAAGGCGGCAUCCUGGACCGGCAUUGACGCCGAGGCGCGAAAGCCAGGGGAGCAAACGGG
rnacentral:rRNA from 1 species